rnacentral:lncRNA from 1 species
AAUAUAUACUCGCAGGUCCCUGAGCACGGUGACGAGUGACUCGGCGGCAUGCGAGGAGUCAAGCACGAAAUUUCUGAAAGGACUUACCUACCUAUGAUCGCGGGGCACACUCGCCUGCGUCCUCGGAGGAAGAAGAAAGCGGUUCGCCUAGUAAAAGGCUGAGAAUAGCACCCAGAGAAUCUUGUUGGCCGUCCAAGGAUGGUUAACGGCACAAAAGUCUCCGAGCCAAGGGACGAGCUGGAAAGGAGUCUCGCAUGUGUUCAGGCUGCCGAGACCCGAGCACGCGGGCGCCGACGGAUGUUGAUGCUGCCACGCUGGUCACGACUCGUGGUCGCCGACCGGGCCGCGCUCUGCCUGCUGGCAGGGAGCAGCUCUCGGCGCACGCGGUGAACUGGACAGCUCUCGCCUCUCCAUCGGCACUGAGCGCAGAGGAGCUUCAUUCUGUGGUAUACACUUUCGCUUCCUCGACCCUGGCGGGCCCCAUCGGAAAUUUGUUCCUGCAGCGAUGAACCAGUCCUAGAAAACGGGCUCCAUUGGAAAUUUGUUCCCGCAGCGAUGAACCAGUCCCACAAAGAGGGAGGAAGGAAGGAAGGAAGGAAGGAAGGAAGGAAGGAAGGAAGGAAGGAAGGAAGGAAGGAAGGAAGGAAGAAAGAAAGAAAGAAAGAAAGAAAGAAAGAAAGAAAGGAAGGAAGA